rfam:Hypsizygus marmoreus strain 51987-8 scaffold_44, whole genome shotgun sequence.
GUCUCGAUAGCCCAGUGGUAGAGCAUGCGAUUGCAGAUCGCAGGGUCCGGUGUUCGAACCACCGCCGGGACU